rnacentral:misc_RNA from 1 species
CCUGUUCGAGCGUCAUUAUGACCAAUCAAGCUCUGCUUGGCCUUGGGGCCCGCUGUACCGGCGGCCCUUAAAAUCAGUGGCGGUGCAUCUGGCUCUAAGCGUAGUAAUUCUCUCGCUACAGGGUCCGGGUGGUUGCUUGCCAGAAUCCCCCACUUUUAUAGGUUGACCUCGGAUCAGGUAGGGAUACCCGCUGAACUUAA